rnacentral:tRNA from 1 species
GGUCCCAUCGUCUAGCGGUUAGGACAUCAGGUUCUCAUCCUGAAAACCCGGGUUCGAUUCCCGGUGGGAUCA